rnacentral:rRNA from 1 species
GAUGAACGCUGGCGGCGUGCCUAACACAUGCAAGUCGAACGGAGCUGCUUUGAUGAAGUUUUCGGAUGGAUUUAAAACAGCUUAGUGGCGGACGGGUGAGUAACGCGUGGGUAACCUGCCUCACACUGGGGGAUAACAGUUAGAAAUAGCUGCUAAUACCGCAUAAGCGCACAGUUCCGCAUGGAACAGUGUGAAAAACUCCGGUGGUGUGAGAUGGACCCGCGUCUGAUUAGCCAGUUGGCGGGGUAACGGCCCACCAAAGCGACGAUCAGUAGCCGGCCUGAGAGGGUGAACGGCCACAUUGGGACUGAGACACGGCCCAAACUCCUACGGGAGGCAGCAGUGGGGAAUAUUGCACAAUGGGGGAAACCCUGAUGCAGCGACGCCGCGUGAGUGAAGAAGUAUUUCGGUAUGUAAAGCUCUAUCAGCAGGGAAGAAAGUGACGGUACCUGAAUAAGAAGCCCCGGCUAACUACGUGCCAGCCGCCGCAGUAA